ACAAAGAAUAUCGUUUACAUGUAUUGCGUCAAUUCUGCAUGUUAUGAAAGACUCUCUUGCUCUGUAUCUUUCUUUGCGUGCGUGAGAAAGCGACGGAGAGGUGUGCGCCUUCACACUAGAGUUUAUGCGGUAAAGCUUCUGGAGGCGAUAACAUUACAUUUAAAUGACCGGAUGAUCCAAACUUUCCCGCGACCUGUCCUCCUCCUAGUGUCUCUAACGUUAAACCGGAUGUGUUAUCUUUCAGGUGGUCUCAUAAGACUAGAGUCGUGAGUCAUUUUCUCUGUGCUGACCACAGGCCAUUCAGAUGGGCUGAUGAUAAAGUCUGGAGGUGUCUGGAGAGGAGAGUUGUGUUUCCAAACCAGCCGCAUCAUCAGAAGUGUCACAGUCAAUUUCGUCC